GGGCGUGUAGCUUAGUUUGGAAAGAGCAUCUGUCUGACUCACGGAUAGAUUCGGGUUCAAAUCCCGACACGCCCG
rnacentral:tRNA from 1 species